rnacentral:misc_RNA from 1 species
GAUGAAGAACGCAGCGAAAUGCGAUACUUGGUGUGAAUUGCAGAAUCCCGUUAACCAUCGAGUCUUUGAACGCAAGUUGCGCCCGAAGCCUCGGCUAAGGGCACGUCUGCCUGGGCGUCACGCAUCGCGUCUCCCCCAAACCGCCAAGGCGGAGGGGAAGGAAGAUGGCUUCCCGUGCCUCACCCGGGCGCGGUUGGUCUAAAUUUGGAGCCCGCGGCACUUAGCUCUCGCGGCGAUAGGUGGUGAACAAGGCCUUGGCCGUGCAAACAACCCGCUGCGAAGCUCUAUGUCACGUGCGCUCGUCGGACCCUUUGAAGUUGCCUUUGGUGACUUAAAACCUUUGCGACCCCAGGUCAGGCGGGGCUACCCGCUGAAUUUAAGCAUAUCAAUAAGCGGAGGA